CGUAGGUGGCAAGCGUUGUCCGGAUUUACUGGGUGUAAAGGGCGUGCAGCCGGGUCGGUAAGUCAGAUGUGAAAUCUGGAGGCUCAACCUCCAAACUGCAUUUGAAACUGCUGAUCUUGAGUAUCGGAGAGGUAAUCGGAAUUCCUUGUGUAGCGGUGAAAUGCGUAGAUAUAAGGAAGAACACCAGUGGCGAAGGCGGAUUACUGGACGACAACUGACGGUGAGGCGCGAAAGCGUGGGAGCAAACAGGAUU
rnacentral:rRNA from 1 species